rnacentral:rRNA from 1 species
CCGGCAGGCCUAACACAUGCAAGUCGAGCGGCAGCACAGAGAAACUUGUUUCUCAGGCUGGCGAGCGGCGGACGGGUGAGUAAUGCCUGGGAAAUUGCCCUGAUGUGGGGGAUAACCAUUGGAAACGAUGGCUAAUACCGCAUGAUGCCUACGGGCCAAAGAGGGGGACCUUCGGGCCUCUCGCGUCAGGAUAUGCCCAGGUGGGAUUAGCUAGUUGGUGAGGUAAGGGCUCACCAAGGCGACGAUCCCUAGCUGGUCUGAGAGGAUGAUCAGCCACACUGGAACUGAGACACGGUCCAGACUCCUACGGGAGGCACCAGUGGGGAAUAUUGCACAAUGGGCGCAAGCCUGAUGCAGCCAUGCCGCGUGUGUGAAGAAGGCCUUCGGGUUGUAAAGCACUUUCAGUUGUGAGGAAGGUGGCGUCGUUAAUAGCGGCAUCAUUUGACGUCACCAACACAUGAAGCACCGGCUAACUCCGCGCCAGCUGCCGCGGUCAAUACGGAGGGUGCGAGCGUCAAUCCGGAAUUCCUGGCCGCAAAGAUCAUGCCCGCGGUUCGUUACAUAAUGAUUAAAGCCCGGGGCUCAAUCUCGGAUCCUGCAUCUGAAACUGGCA